GUGCAGCAGGCGCGAAUCUUCGGCAAUGGGCGAAAGCCUGACCGAGCGACGCCGCGUGCGGGAAGAAGGCCUUUGGGUUGUAAACCGCUUUUCUCAGGGAACAAUCCCGGCUUUAGCGGGAUGAGGGUACCUGAGGAAUAAGGGGGGCUAAUCACGUGCCAGCAGCAGCGGUAAUACGUGACCCCCGAGCGUUAUCCGGAUUUUACGUGGGCGUAAAAGAGGCCUUAAGGCGGAGGAGAAAGUCUUUCGUUAAAUUCUCGGGGCUCGAACCUCGAGAUUGCGAAAGAAACUUCUCCUCUUGA
rnacentral:rRNA from 1 species